UACGAAGGGGGCUAGCGUUGCUCGGAAUCACUGGGCGUAAAGCGCACGUAGGCGGCUUUUUAAGUCAGGGGUGAAAUCCUGGAGCUCAACUCCAGAACUGCCUUUGAUACUGAGAGGCUUGAGUCCGGGAGAGGUGAGUGGAACUGCGGGUGUAGAGGUGAAAUUCGUAGAUAUCGGGAGGAACACCAAUGGCGAAGGCAGCUUGCUGGGACGGUACUGACGCUGAGGCGCGAAAGCGUGGGGAGCAAACAGG
rnacentral:rRNA from 1 species